AAUAGGGCGUUGAGUGGUGUGUUGUAGACCCGAAGCGGGGUGAUCUACCCAUGUCCAGGGUGAAGCGGCUGUAAGAGGUCGUGGAGGCCCGAACCCACCAGGGUUGAAAACCUGGGGGAUGACCUGUGGUUAGGGGUGAAAGGCCAAUCAAACUCCGUGAUAGCUGGUUCUCCCCGAAAUGCAUUUAGGUGCAGCGUCGUGUGUUUCUUGCCGGAGGUAGAGCACUGGAUAGGCGAUGGGCCCUACCGGGUUACUGACCUUAGCCAAACUCCGAAUGCCGGUAAGUGAGAGCGCGGCAGUGAGACUGUGGGGGAUAAGCUCCAUGGUCGAGAGGGAAACAGCCCAGAGCAUCGACUAAGGCCCCUAAGCGUACGCUAAGUGGGAAAGGAUGUGGAGUCGCAGAGACAACCAGGAGGUUGGCUUAGAAGCAGCCACCCUUGAAAGAGUGCGUAAUAGCUCACUGGUCUAGUGAUUCCGCGCCGACAAUGUAGCGGGGCUCAAGCGUACCGCCGAAGUCGUGUCAUUGCAGCAAUACUCCCAACGGAGGCUGUGAUGGGUAGGGGAGCGUCGUGUGCCGGGUGAAGCAGCCGUGGAAGCGAGUUGUGGACGGUUCACGAGUGAGAAUGC
rnacentral:ncRNA from 1 species